AAAUAUGCCUUGAGAAGAUGACUAGGAAUAUUGAAGUUAUGAUGAAGCACGUUAAGGUUUUCCAAAUGCUUUUUAGAUGAUCAUUGAAGAAGUCUUUAGGGGUUUGAUCUAGCACCAUGUCUGCUGUGUGUUUAAGUAGUUUCUCCAGAAUGUUUUGAGAUAGCACAAAAAUCUCAUCUGGCCAUGUGGCCCUUCCUGUUUCUGUUGAGCCCAUCUUAGCAGGCAGUUAUGGGAGAGAUUGAUAGAAUGCUGGAGCAAACCCCAAGGUGUUUUAUAGCAUGAUCGUGCUUCCCAGGGAGACCAGGAAUUUUAAUCCCAUCAAUUUAUUAAUCUGGAGCUCCCUUUAUGUUACAUGUUGGCAUCGGAUCCACAGUUGAGUUUCAGCCUUUGGAGAAGGCUAUGAGAAGCGGGUAAUGAAAAGAAGGAAUUGCUCUGUGCACAGAGUAGACUGGGUAGGUGGUUAGUAGUGAUUGUCAAUGUGGUUGUGAUGGUGUUUGUCUUGCUCUCUGGUUUUGGUGGAUGAGAGUCUGCCAAGUAAGAUCUUAAAGAGCUUGCCCUUAGAUCAUAACCAUUUAUGUUCUAAUGGGAUUCCCUACUCUGGAAAGCCAUGUCCCACUGUGCUUGGCAGGAAAGCAGGAGGCCCCCUGCAAGGUUAAGUGCAUGAAAACAAAGCAAUGUUUUCCCUCAGGAUCAAUCUAAAUAUCAUCCUGAGGACUGACAGCUGGACAGGAGAUCAUGGAAAAUGGGACUUUGUUCCUGCUGCCUAGGGUCCUGCCCUUCUCUGUGAGGGUGCAUUUUGGAAAAGCCUAGGAAGAUGAUGAGAGUCCUGGGAAGUGGGAGAAGCUGGCGAUGACAGUAGGUCCCUGUCAGGAGGACCGGAAGCCAGUGCCACGUGAACACACAGGAUGUUACUAAAGAUGGUGGAGUGUGUCUACAGAUUUCCCUGAUGCAGGAGGAAGUCUCCUUCCAGACGUCCUUUGGACAUUGGUGUUUCUUCUUUUGAGAAAUGUCUGUUGAAUUCUUGUGUUCAUUUAUUGAUUGGGUUGUUGGUUGGUGUUUUUUGAGCUCUUUAUAUUUCUGGAUAUUAAUUCUCUGUCCAGAGAGUAGCUGGCAAAUAUUUUUUUCUCCCAAUCCGUAGUCUCUCUCUUCAUGCUCUUAGUUUUUUGUUUUGUUUUUUGCUGUGCAGAAGUUUUUAAGUUGAAUGCCAUCCCACUUACUGAUUCUUGGUUUUAUUUCUUGAGUUUUAGGGGUCUUAUUAAAGAAGUUCAUGUCUUUGCCUGCAUGUUGGAAUGUUGACCCUAUGUUUUCCUCUAGCUGUUGCAAGGUUUCUGGUCUAAUUCCUAAAAAGUCAACUUUGAGUUGACUU
rnacentral:lncRNA from 1 species